GAUGAACGCUAGCUACAGGCUUAACACAUGCAAGUCGAGGGGUAACGAGAGGAAAGCUUGCUUUCCUUGUCGACGACCGGCGCACGGGUGAGUAACGCGUAUCCAACCUGCCCCCAACUAGGGAAUAACCUUGCGAAAGUAAGACUAAUACCCUAUAAUUUCCUCAGAUGUCAUCUGACGAGGAAUCAAGAUUUAUCGGUUGUGGAUGGGGAUGCGUCUGAUUAGCUUGUUGGCGGGGUAACGGCCCACCAAGGCAACGAUCAGUAGGGGUUCUAAGAGGAAUGUCCCCCACAUUGGAACUGGGACACGGUCCAAACUCCUACGGGAGGCAGCAGUGAGGAAUAUUGGUCAAUGGGCGGAAGCCUGAACCAGCCAAGUAGCGUGCAGGAUGACGGCCCUAUGGGUUGUAAACCUCUUUUAUAAGGGAAUAAAACGCUCCACGUGUGGAGCUUUGCAUGUACCUUUUGAAUAAGGAUCGGCUAACUCCGUGCCAGCAGCCGCGGUAA
rnacentral:rRNA from 1 species